AGGGGAACAACAGCUGGAAACGGCUGCUAAUACCCCAUAGGCUGAGGAGCAAAAGGAGGAAUCCGCCCAAGGAGGGGCUCGCGUCUGAUUAGUUAGUUGGUGAGGCAAUGGCUUACCAAGGCGACGAUCAGUAGCUGGUCCGAGAGGAUGAUCAGCCACACUGGGACUGAGACACGGCCCAGACUCCUACGGGAGGCAGCAGUGGGGAAUUUUCCGCAGUGGGCGAAAGCCUGACGGAGCAAUGCCGCGUGAAGGCAGAAGGCCCACGGGUCAUGAACUUCUUUUCUCGGAGAA
rnacentral:rRNA from 1 species